CCAGUGUUUAAGACCAGCGCACUCAACGAGUCUUUGCUAGAUCUUCUGCUAUCCUGCAUUAGUCUUGCGUCAAUACUCAUCCUCUUUUGGACGAUGGUCUUCUUGGCAUUCACAGACACAGCCUGAGCCCCGUUUCAUUCCCUGCUUCACCUGCCUCCCUCUUUGUCACAGCAACUUGGAUUCUCUGGAACAUUCCACCUGGACUCCCAAUUACUGGAAAAUCACCUGGACCUCUUUGACCUCCUCACCCCACAUCACCUUCCACUUGCAAAACCAUGACACUGAGCUCCACCGCCCGAGCCACGACCCACUCCCCGAAUUCCCCU